rnacentral:snRNA from 1 species
CAUAUACUAAAAAAGAAAAAAAAAUUGGAAUGAUAGAGAGAUUAGCAUGGCCCCUGUGCAAGGAUGACACACAAAUUUGUGAAGCAUUCCAUAAAAAG